GGGAUGUGAUGAGUGGUCGAUGCUCGCAAAUAAAAUAUGCGAGAAGGGUGUCACAGCCCAAAGCCUGGUUACGACAAUCUGGGCGCCUAGCUUUUACCAAUCUGAUCCC
rnacentral:snoRNA from 1 species